rnacentral:lncRNA from 1 species
GUGUGGUAUCAUCUUCACUUGCCUUAUAUGUCUCAUAGGUAGAUGUGACAUCUUCUCUGGAAGUACUCUUCCUCCGUCCAGGGGUGGUAUCUUUAACUGGUGGAGAUGCACAAGGUAAUGUAUCAAUUUCACUUGAAGCUUACUUGUAGUUUCAGGCUUGGUCAAGCGCGAUACAAACCAUGUAGUAGGAGUCCCCCAAGUCGCCGAGCUAGGGGAUCUGCUGAAAGAGGUGACAGACAAGGUAAGCAAUCAGAGCUCCAAGCAAUCAGUCCCAGAUCAGAAGUUUGAUUUCGAGUUCCGGCUGAUUGUUCUCAUUUUCCCUAUCUUGUAGGCAGCAUGAAGGAUAAAGAGAAGAAAAAGGAGAAGAG